AGCCCAGAGCCUGAAUCAGUGUGUGUGUUAGUGGAAGCGUCUGGAAAGGCGCGCGAUACAGGGUGACAGCCCCGUACACAAAAAUGCACAUACUGUGAGCUCGAUGAGUAGGGCGGGACACGUGGUAUCCUGUCUGAAUAUGGGGGGACCAUCCUCCAAGGCUAAAUACUCCUGACUGACCGAUAGUGAACCAGUACCGUGAGGGAAAGGCGAAAAGAACCCCGGCGAGGGGAGUGAAAAAGAACCUGAAACCGUGUACGUACAAGCAGUGGGAGCACAGAGCAAUCUGUGUGACUGCGUACCUUUUGUAUAAUGGGUCAGCGACUUAUAUUCUGUAGCAAGGUUAACCGAAUAGGGGAGCCGAAGGGAAACCGAGUCUUAACCGGGCGUUAAGUUGCAGGGUAUAGACCCGAAACCCGGUGAUCUAGCCAUGGGCAGGUUGAAGGUUGGGUAACACUAACUGGAGGACCGAACCGACUAAUGUUGAAAAAUUAGCGGAUGACUUGUGGCUGGGGGUGAAAGGCCAAUCAAACCGGGAGAUAGCUGGUUCUCCCCGAAAGCUAUUUAGGUAGCGCCUCGUGAAUUCAUCUCCGGGGGUAGAGCACUGUUUCGGCAAGGGGGUCAUCCCGACUUACCAACCCGAUGCAAACUGCGAAUACCGGAGAAUGUUAUCACGGGAGACACACGGCGGGUGCUAACGUCCGUCGUGAAGAGGGAAACAACCCAGACCGCCAGCUAAGGUCCCAAAGUCAUGGUUAAGUGGGAAACGAUGUGGGAAGGCCCAGACAGCCAGGAUGUUGGCUUAGAAGCAGCCAUCAUUUAAAGAAAGCGUAAUAGCUCACUGGUCGAGUCGGCCUGCGCGGAAGAUGUAACGGGGCUAAACCAUGCACCGAAGCUGCGGCAGCGACACUGUGUGUUGUUGGGUAGGGGAGCGU
rnacentral:rRNA from 1 species